GCUCUGCCUGCUGUAUCCUGCAUCCUUCACGUGCUCUCCUCUCUGACUGUUUCCAUACUGGCCUGCCUUCUCAGUGGGUAUCUGGGGACCUUUUGGCUUAAAAGUGAGUUUGUUCUUCGAAGCUGACACCGGGUGAAUGUGAGGCACACGUGAUAACCAGAGGCUGGCCAGUGUGGUUUUAAGGAACCUGACUCUGCCACGUUUAUGAACAGAUUUUGAUUCCGAGAGCGUGUCAUUUCAAAAGAGAGGAGGAAGUCCAUGGAAAAUUAGCAUGCCAGCAAGACAUUUUUGGGUGUGUCAGUAAAACCCAAAGUUGAAUAAAUGCCCUAGGUACCAUCCAGGAGACAUGCAUCUUAAUCCUAAGGGGCAUCUUGGAAUGGCAACUUUUUCUUGACUGAAAUGGGUUGAGCAGUUAUAUUGAGAGAGAACCAGAUGCUAACUCUGGCCAGCAUCACAACUGGGAUUGGAGAGCCCAGAGGUAAGUUUGCAGCCUUUUCUCUGAUGUACACUCAGAACUGCCCAUUUUAAAACAUACUUGGCAUUCUUGCACCUAUCUUCUUAGCGAAGGAAUUUCUGAAGUGGAUGUUGGUGACCGGUCUGAGUAAUUGAGCUGACUAAAGGCAAAUAUAAAGAUUGACCAAAUCAACAAAUAGAAUUUUUUUCUUCUUGAGCAUAACAAGUCUUAAUUAAAAAAAAAAAAAUGUUAUCAGGGCUGGUGCUGUGGCUUAGCCCAUAAAGCUCCUGCCUCUGACCUGACAUCCCAUGUGGGUGCCGGUUCAAGCCCCAGCUGUUCCACAAAUGAUCCAGCUACCUGCUAAUGGCCUGGGAAAAGCAGUGGGAGAUGGCCCAAAUAUUUGGGGCCCUGCUACCCACAUGGGAGACCUGGAAGAAGUUCCUGGCUUCAGCCUGGCCCAGUGCUGGCUGUUGUGACCAUCUGGGGAGUGAACCACCAGAUAGAAGGUCUCUCCCUCUUUCUCUGUAACUGUUUCAAAAUAUAUAAGUAAAAUCAUCUUUUCUAAAAAAAGUUAUUUCAAAGGCAGAGAGCGAGCGAGAGAGCACACUCCCAUCUGCUGUCUCACUUCCCAAUGGCCAGGAUGGGGCCAGACUAAAGCUGGGAGCUGGGACCUUAACCCAAGUCUACCCCAUGGAUGGCAGAGACCCAGCUACUUGAACCAUCUCCUUUGCCUCCCAGGGUCUGUGUUAGCAGGAAGCUGGAGUCAGGAGUAGAGCUGGGCGUCAGACCUCCCCUCUCUGAUGAGAGACUUAGGCAUUCUAACUGGUGUCGGGACCACUAGCUCCCUGUGCACUCCCAGCACAACAGACCUUUACAUCUACAUCGGAAAAGAGAAAACCUUAGUCUCUUACUAAUGCUUAAGUUUUCUUAUAUCUUUGGACCUAUCAAAUGUGUCAAGUUGUGACAUAUAAUUUUUACAGGCUGUACUCCACCUCUUUAGAGUUAUUUUGGGGCCUAAUACAUAAAAGGAACAAUUCUUUGGGAAUCUGCCAACACCAUAUUUUUGAAGGAAGCUAGGAUUUCUUUCUUUCUUUCUGUCUGUCUGUCUUUCUUUCUGUCUUUCUUUCUUUCUGUCUUUCUUUCUGUCUUUCUUUCUUUCUGCCUGUAGACUGAGGUUGCUAGAGGCUCCCUAAAUGUUGUAGUUUAAGCAUUGGCAUAUGUAGUAGGAACAGGAUAAAUACUAGUUAGAACUUAGCUGCAUAUACAAAGGUAAGAAUAUCCCUUUAAGUUUUCCAAGCUAGGAAUUUCCCCUUUUAUAAAUAGAGACUGUAUCUAAAUUCAGAACUUAUACUGAAGUUAAAAUCCUAGGGCUUACUGAGCUGAGAUUCACACUGCCGACCACUAGGUGGCCUCAGUUACAUAUUCAUGAGCCAUGUCUAAGAGACCACAUAGUACCUGAGUGACUUUUUAAAAACAUUUUUAUUUAUUUGUUUUCAAUUUAUUCGAAAGAGAGACACACAGAGAGACGGACACAGAGAGAUCUUCCAUCUGCUUGUUCACUUCCCAAAUGCCUGCAAUAGCCAGGGCUGGUCUAGGCCAAAGCCAGGAGCCUGGUGCUUUUUCUUGGUCUCCCACACGGGUGUCAGUGAUACAAGUACUUGAGCCAUCAGCUGCUGCCUCCCAGGGUGCACAUUAGCAGGAAACUGGAAUGGAAGCAGAGCAGCCAGGACUCAAAUCUGACAUUCCCAAAUGAGGUGUGGGUACUCCAAGCAGCAUGUUAACCACUGCACCAAGCGCCUUUCCAAUGACUUGGUUUUAAUUUUCAUGUAUGCUGCUUCAGGCCCUUUGUUUCUUGAGUGGGAAGAAGUAGUUUCUGGAGAAUAUCAGAUUUACAAGAGAGCAGAUAACUGCCUGUUACAUGGAAUGAUUGGUUUAGCUUCAUUUGGCUGUGGAAAUGGGAACCAAGGCCCUCCUCACCACCCCUCUUUCUUAUUUUUUCCUUUCCUCUUUCUAUUGAUUUGCUACCCUCUUUCAACCUCUUAUGCAUGUGAUUCAUAGUUCAUGAGUAAUAAGGAACAUACAGUAAAUGUAGUGGUCUUUUUGGCUUUAUUGCCAGAAACACAGGGGUUGAGGGACAAGUGAAAGAAGUCAGGGAAAUGGGUGUUCCUUCAGGUUGUGGAUGGGAGCCUGAGCUUCAUUGCACAGAGUGCCUGGAAGACGCCAAACAAAGGUCUCUAGCCAAAAUGCCUGCACCUAGACCACGUUCCUUAGCCUUAGCACCACUCACAUUUUGGCUGGAUGACCCCGUGUCGUGUGGGACUUUCCUGUGCAUUGUUGGUUGGUCAGCAGCUUCCCUGGCGCCACUAGAUGCCAGGAAUAUCCUCAGUUGUCCUGUGGACAACCAAAAAAGUCUCCAGAAAUGGCCGAAUGUCCCCUGAGGGGAAACGUGUCCCAGGUAGAAGGUGUCUGAUCUCAGUUGUCGUUACCCAUUUUGCCCAGAAGCACCGGGGCAAGUAUUGCCACAGGCAGGACCACACAAGGUGUUUUGUAUUGGUCCUGUGUAUGAACAUUGAAGAUGAAGUGAUUUUUGUCUUUAAUGUUAUACAUAAUGAUAAAAAUAUUGAGUGGCUUGAUUUUCUCUAUUCAUAUUUGACCAACUUAUUAUUUGUGGUUUUUGUCCUAUGGGAGGAGUUUAUGGGCAUUAUAUUCUCUCUGACAUACCACACUGCAUUUUUCUUGGAAUAAGUGGUUUUGGAUGAAGGAGGAUCAGUUAUUAAGUCUUUUUUUUUGGGGGGGGGGGGACAGGCAGCGUGUACAGUGAGAGAGAGACAGAGAGAAAGGUCUUCUUUUUGCCGUUGGUUCACCCUCCAAUGGCCGCCGCGGCCAGCGCGCUGUGGCCGGCGUAUCGUGCUGAUCCGAAGCCAGGAGCCAGGUGCUUCUCCUGGUCUCCCAUGUGGGUGCAGGGCCCAAGCACUUGGGCCAUCCUCCACUGCACUCCUGGGCUAUAGCAGAGGGCUGGCCUGGAAGAGGGGCAACCAGGACAGAGUCCGGCGCCCCAACCGGGACUAGAACCCUGUGUGCUAGUGCCGCAAGGCGGAGGAUUAGCCUAUUGAGCCGCGGCGCCGGCCAGUUAUUAAGUCUUAAAAGUCUGUUCUUAGUCCCCAGAUGGAUUAUCAUAGGCAUAUAAUGUAGGGAAUAGGAAUUCAGAGAUUUCUGUAUAUUUGUUUGUAUGUUUUUCAUUCCUUGGGGACUAAGAAAUGUAGCUAAACUCAUCAUUGUCUUGUAUCCAAAUGCUGGCAUGCAGUGAGAACACAAUAUUUAUUGAAGUGAAUCUUGAAUACUUCAGUCAAUGUAUGGUAUUAAGCUCCCUGGGCUUAAGGCAUCUCUAACUGUAAAUUAGGGUAGAUACAUAUCAUUUUUCCUACAGAAAUUCCAGGGGGCUUUAGUGAGAUGAAUUAAAUAAUGGAUUUACAGUGAAAGUAAUCUAGUGGGCUUAUGGCUUUUAAGUGUUAAUACAAGAGGCCAGCCCUGUACAUGUCCCAGCCCUGGAACAUGUCUCUUAAAGGUGAUUUACAGGCUGUGACUGCACACACAGGGCUAGAGCAGCAGCUACCACAGUCACAGUAUGAUCUGCAGAACUGGCAUGUUGUAUUCUCCGGUCUAGACAAGAUCUUUUUGCCUGUUUCAAAUUCCAGAGCCUACCCUUUCCUUAUAUUGAUCAUUAUGUUUGACCUUGUUCCUGGGUGCCCUGAGAACUCCCCCAGCCUGAGACUGUGCUCUGGAACUCUUCAUUUAGUCAUAGCUUGGGUAACCAUCCCAGAGAGGAAUCUGAGAAUUUCCAUAAUAGGAAUGAACAAGGACAAGAAAAGCAGUCAGGGAUCCUAUCUAUGCGAGACAAGUCUUCUGGCUUUUAAUUACGAUGAGAUUAGUCAGUCCACACAAAUGGACCUCGAUACUGUGCCAGAGAGCCUGUACUUUUUUAAGAUUAUUCUAGGCUCAAUAGGUAAUUCAUUAGCCUCAAAAUGAAAUUAACAUUUCAAGGAAUUGGAUUCAGGGAAUGAAGUGUGAAAUAUGCUAAGCCCAAUUUGUGUCUUCCCCAUGCUCAUUGCCACCUUUGUAGAUGAGUUCUAAUUACAAGAGUAUUAAAGAUCAUUUUGUACAAAGCUGACAAAAACCAGACAAAACUGAAACUAAGAAAGGCUAGUUUAGGCAAGUCACAAAAUAUACAACCUGCGCCAGAAUGGAACCCAAAUUUCUAGGCUCUCAGUAUAAAUAUUUCAUUUCACUCUAUAAAUGUUCAUAACUUGAUGCUAAUAGGAACAAGACAGGCAGUGACAGUCAAUGAAUUGGGCUGAGAGUAACAAUAGGAAGUGAUGGGAACUGUGGUUAAUUGGAAAAACCGAUGUCCCAUCUAAAAGGGCGGCUUCUGUUGAGUUCCAGCCCAUUGUUGCCAUGUGGGCCUUAGGUGGCCGGGGCCUUUGGUUUUUUUCAAGGCAACGUAGAUUUUUUAUGUGAUGUCUCAUGAUUUUUAGUUAUGCAACAAACCAUACUUCACUGUAUGAAUGAAAUAAAUCUGCGCACCAUACCUAUUCUCAACAGCCACUAGUUUGAAACCUCUUUGUUUCUUUCAGCAGGAUAUUUUUUCUCCUGUUUGGUUCCAUGGUCUGUGGGCCACUAAGUUGUGGAUGAGUGGAGACAGAUCCCUUCCUCCUGGCCCCUGCUGAGCUCCUUCUAACCUUGUGCCCAUCCCCUCGAUGCAGAUGCUUUGCUGAGCACCUGCUGCGCCCCGGAUGCUGUGGGAGACACUUUCUCAUGAUCUUGCCAGACAGUCCCCUCUCUGAGACUUUUAUUCAUUUUGUAUGUACCAUAUGGCUUGUUUAUUUCUAGUGUAAUAUUUUAAUUGUUUGAUUUUAAUAACUCCUUCCAUGAGAUCAGAUGAUAGAAUGACAUCACUUUGGCUGGGUACCAAUGGAAACAAUUAGCUCCACUAAAGACUUCCGUGUUUUUUUUUUUUUUUAAGCCGGCCCACCUUCUGUUCUUACCUUAUACUGAGGAAUGUUACAGUAGAACCACAUUCCUCUGGAGGCUGCCGGAAGCCCAGGCUCUCCCCCUUGCUUCUGCAUUGUACUUGGAGUUUGGCUUUGUUCUCUCCUUGAAGCCUGCCUGCCUACAUCGUGCCUUCUUACUUCUACACACUCCUCUGUGCCUUCAGUGAGCCAGGCUCUUAGCAGGGUUAAAAAAGAAUGCCAGUGUUUCACCUGCUAGCUCUUCUGGGACACACUUGGAGGACAGCACUGGCUCUUGUCCCCACUCUUUUACAAUUCCUUAAAUGGCUCUUGUCCUAGGUUGUGAGUCCAGCAGAGUGUGUCAGCCUUCUGGGAAAAAAGUCUUUCAAGCUAACAGGCAUGUGUGCCUGGAAAUGGAUAGCCUGGUCAUUUGCAGAUCUUCUCUGUGCCUGGCCUGCAUAGCUCCUACAUCUUCCUGAAAGAGAGAUGGGGUGGGCAGAAAGUGUAAUCAAGUUUCCCUAAGAAGCCUGAGCACUGGUGGUCCUGAGCAAUGCAGUCUUACACAGGUUCUUCUUUUGAACUUGAUAAAUGGCAAGAACCGCCCCCUCCCCAAAUUGUGAUAAUAAAAGCAUCCUAUCCCAUUCCCUGGAGAAAAGAGCUGACUUGUACCUUGUGAAUCCAAUAAAAUGGCUUGAAUGCAUGGCCUGGCCCCAGACAUUACAUCAGCACUCAGCCUCUCUGUGUUGAUGUUAUGUGGGUAUAGCAGAGGUACAGGAAUGCACCAGUAAGUGCUCUCCAGACGCGAACAACACCCAGUAAAGGUGUAGCUUUGCUCAUCAAAGAACUCCGUGCCACCCUGAUUAAGACCACCGGGGGUCUAGCACUCCAUGUGUUCUUCCUGGUCUGAAAUACAGAUAGAUACACCCACGCACACACAUACUUUUUUUAAAGGAAUAGAUUUCUUUAUUAUUUUUUAUUUUCAUUUUAUUUGAAAGAAAAACAGAAAAGAACAGAAAGAGAGAGAGAAAGAGAGCUCUAUCCACUAAUUCACUCCCUCCAAAUACCUGCAACAGCCAGGGCCCAGCCAGGCUGACGUCGGGAGCACAGUAUUCAGUUUGGGUCUCCCGCAGGUAAGGGAGCCAUCACCUGCUGCCUCCCAGGAUGCGUAUUAGUAGGAAGCUGGAUAAGAAACAAAGUAGCCAGGACUCGAACAGGUACUCUCAUAUGGGAAUGGGGCAACUUGAAACCACUGUGCCACACACACCAACUCCAGAUACACUUUUUUUUUUAUGGUGAAAAAACAUAUCUAGAAUUAGCCAGACUCAGUUUAGGUGAUGCCAGUUUUGUUGGCAACAUCCAAAGCAUCAUAGUCAGGAGCCCGUCAAACAUGCCUCCUUCUCUUGGUCAGGUCUGACCAGAGUAUUGACCUUGCUGGGACAUCGCCCUUGGCCACGUCAGUGUGUAGAGUUCCUUCACAGGCUGUUUGAUCUGGUGCUCGCUGGCCUUGACAUCCACUUGGAACUCAAGUGUGAUGUUGUCUUCUGUGUUCUUCACAGCAGACAGUGGUCAGGGGGAGCUUGUUGAUGGCACAGUGGUCAAGCUUGUUUUGCCUGGGGGCACUGUUCCCAGGAGGCCUAGUGUCUGGGCCGACAGAAAGUAGAUGUGCGGAUCCUUGUUUCAAUUGUGGCUGUGGACACCUUUCAGCAUGAGGCCUUUGCGUUCUCUUUGGCUUUAGGAAGGGCAGGAGCUUUCUGCUUUGCCUUUGGUGCCAUCUUGGUGAAAAUUCCAGGUACACUUUUAAUGGGAGGAAUAUUCAGCUCUCUUGGAUUCUUGGAUUCCAUACUUUGUUGUUACUGGUUUUUGUUGUUGUUGUUGUGGUUAUUGUUUUUUUUUGGUUGGGCAGAGGGAGUUGUCUCCUUGCCUUUCUUUUAUAUCUUAAAACUUUGGUCCUUUAAAAACUUUUUUUUUUUAAUUCUCUGAUGUAUUUUCUUUUCUUUUCUUUUUUUUUUUUUAUUUGACAGAGACAGAGGGACAGAGAGAAAGGUCUUCCUUCUGUUGGUUCACCCCCCAAAUGGCUGCCACGGCCCGAGCUACACUGAUCCAAGCCAGGAGCCAGGUGCUUCUCCUGGUCUCCCAUGCGGGUGCAGGCACCCAAGCACUUGGGCCAUCCUCCACUGCCUUCCUGGGCCACAGCAGAGAGCUGGACUGGAAGAGGAGUAACCGGGACUAGAACCCGGUGGCCAUAUGGGAUGCUGGCACCGCAGGCAGAGGAUUAACCAAGUGAACCACAGCGCCAGCCCCUCUCUGAUGUAUUUUCUUUUCUUUUCUUUUCUUUUUUUUUUUUUUUUAAGAUAUAUUUAUUUAUUUGAAAGUCAGAGUUAUAAAGAGAAGCCAAGAGAUUCCUCUGGGUCUGCCACACGGGUGCAGGGGCCAAGGGUUUGGGCCAUCAUCUACUGCUUUCCCAGGCUGUAGCAGAGAGCUGGAUUGGAAGUGGAGCAGCUGGGUCUCAAAUCAGCACCCAUAUGGGAUGCCAGCACUGCAGGCAGUGGCUUUAUCCGCUAUGCCACAGCGCCAGCCCUGGUCCUUUAACUUCAGAAGCAUUUUGCUAUCCACUGUCAUACCUGAAUGCUCCCAGUGACUUUGGUUGUAUGUAGUUGAGCAGAUUUCAUCACCGUGUGAAACUGAAGCCCACAGUAGUUUGAAAUUACAGAUUGAGUUGUUAGCUGAACCAAGACAGGACUUAGUCUCUUUCUUCCAAUGGCACCCUCUUCCUCAUAGUCACACUGCCACCUGUGGUACAGGAACUGAGUCAUGAUGCUAUGGUCUUCCACAGACUGAUGAGGAAGAGCUAAAUGUAGAUGUGUGGUGGAGGAAUUCCUUGUAUGCAAAAUUUUAGGAGAUUUUUAUUUUAUAAAGAGAAGGUAGACUAAAAAUACCUCAUUAAAUCAGCCAUUUUAAACUCUUUGUGAAUCCUAGACCUCCGAAAAUCUAAAAGCUAUGCAUACUCAUCUCAGAAAAAUGCAUUUGGGACUGGCAUUGUGACACAGUGGAUUUAAACAACCAUUUGCAAAGCCAGCAUCCCACAUCAGAUGCAGUGAAUCUCCGCUGCUCCACUUCUGAUCCAGCUCCUUUCUGAUACCUAGGAAGCAGCAAAAGAUGGCCCAAGUACUUGGACCCCUGCUAUCCACAUGGGGGAGCUGAAUGAAGUUCCAGGCUACUGGCUUCCACCUGGAUAGUCCUGGCCAUUUUGGCCUUUGGGGAGUGAACCAACAGGUGGAAGAUCUCUCUGUCUGUCAUCCUUUCAAAUAUAUAAAUAAAUCUUUAAAAAAUGCACAUAGCCACAUAAUUUUGUAUAAAAUGAUAAGGGAUUUAUGGGACUCCUGAAACCUAGAAAUUCAGGUAUUACCAAUCCAGGGUUAAGAUCAUCUUUGAGUCCAUUUACUGAUGCUGUUUAGAACUUAGAAAAAUUAACAGGUUUUGCAGUGUCUGCGAGUAGGACUUCUAUAUUUGGUCUGGUUGAUAAUUGUGGAGCUGUAAAAGAACACUAGACAACCUAGAUUUCUUCUUAGGAACAAGUGGGAUUGAUGUGAUCUGUUGACAUGAUAUGACAGUUAUCCUUGAAUGCAUAGUUCCUGCCUGGGAAUCUGGGCCCCAUUAGGGAAUCCCAGGUAGAUAGCAAUGAAAAGGACCAGAAUAUAACCUUUCCUACCUUACCUGCCCUAUUGGCCUCCUUAGACAUUUAACUUUCAGUAACUCUGGCUUUUUUUUUUUUUUUUUUUUUUUUUUUUAAGAUUUAUUUAUUUAAAAAGCAGAGAGAAAGAUCAGAUGCUGGCACAGCAAGUGGAGGCUUACACAUAUUGCUCCUCAGUGCCGGCCCCAACUGUUCCCCUGUGCGGGUGUCUUCCAAUUUUAGAGAAAAAGGAAGCUCGUGUUCACCCCUCAGACUGUUUGGAGCUUUGCUUGACUGAAAGCUUACAAACAUACUCACCUGUGGACUGCAGGGAGCAAUGCCUUCUGCCCUCUUCCCAAUUCUCACAUACAAUGAGCAAGGCUCAGAAAGGGGAGAUUGAAUGAUGGACGCCUUUUGGUUGGUGGCCACCUAUUUUGCAUAGGCUUCCAAAAGGUUUUGCCAAAUAAAGAUUCAUCUUUAAGUAAUACAGGUACUUUGUUACAGGCAGCUGCUGGACAAAAUUUCUUUGCUACUGGUUAUUUGACUUAUUAGCUGCUUUUAUGAAUAUUUUUAUUAAUAGAAUUUUCCUACUUAAACACUAAAGAUUGGUUAUUAAAGGAUUCUCAGAUCCUAAUGGAGCUGAAAUGGUAAAUGGGCAAAAGAAACAAGAAUAUUGUGACCUCACAUGCACAAAUAGGAAUAAUUUAAUCUAGGGCCAUGCAUAUUUGUAUGCUUGUAUUGGAAGCCAAUGGAAUUCUAUUUCUCCUACCAUAAAUAAGUCCUUUUGCAAAGAACAUGUGCUGUAACUGCUUUGAAUGGUAUUCGUGGCAGGCAGAGUGUAAAUGAGAUGAUCAAAAGUGUAUUAUAUGCCGAUUAGCAAGCGUCUUUCUGGAGAGCAGACCACAAGGUGGUUCAGUCGUGUUGUCUUCCCUUCUGACAUGAGAUGGGGAGCGGAGAAUGAGAGCGGUGUUUGACUUGAGUGUUAAAAUGGCAGUCUCUCUGCUGUUGCUGAUGGCUAGAGAGCCUUCUGGUUUCUCUGUCCUAGUCAAUACAGUUAAUUAGACAGGCAUCGCCAUUUACUGGAGAAUAAAAUUAAUCAAUUACCAUGGAAGCAGCCUUUGGAAAGAGCUGUGUAAGUUGAUCAGUACUCAGUGAAUAGCCACUGAUUGAUGUGUUUCCUUCUCCAUCAGCAGAUGUUGGGGAAUCAAAUGCUGUGCGGGACCUGCACACACACACUCUGUUGAGAAAGCCGUGAGAGGUUUUUCUGUUAGCAAAGGGCCCAGGCAGAUGCUGGGUUAUUCUUGGAUUAUUUCAUGUGGAUGGCUUGUCUUUCUGCUUUCCAGAACUUUUUCUUCUUUUUAACUUGGCUUUUUGGGGAUGGGACAUUUUUUGUUUAUAUUUAUAUUUGAAACCCUAUUAGAUCUUAGAAGAUAAAUGGCUGCGAGUUAUCUGAUUCCAAAUCAGUCCUUUCUUUAAUUUGUUUAACCAUUAAGAUUUAAGUAAAGGUAUUAAAUGAUUUUUUCCAUGAAAGUUUCUAUUUUUUUCCAUGAAGUUUCUAUUUCCAUGAAAGUUUUGCUGCGGCCAGCCAUGUUUAGAUCCUUUUUUUGAAACUUCAAGUCACUAAAAAUUUCUUAAGACUUGGGUGACUCUACAAGGGAGGACUAUUUAAAGGCAUGGCCAUCUCUGGGUAUUCGGCUAGCAAAACAUCUUAUAAAUAGAAAAAGAUUUUUUUAGAGAAUAUGUGUAAUUUAAGAGAUGGAAAAGAGGGCAGAAUUUCUUGGCGGGGUUGCUGGGCAUUGUAGUAGUACCAGAGAAUAUGGAGUAUAAUGUAAGUGGCUUGUUUUCUGUAAAGGUUAAUGAAGGGACACAGGAAAUGUUGGCAAAUGAGACCAUGGCAGAGCACUAUUGUGCUCUUUUCUUCAGUGUUAGAGGUGGCAGUCACGGUGGGAUUCCUUCUGUGUUGAGAAAGAGCAGUUGCUGAUCUGUCCUCAUCCUCGAGCAAGUUAAUGCCUCCAUACUUUGAGCAGGUUAGAUACAGUCCUGCCAUGCACUGUGUCUGGGCUGCGUUCAGGUCAUAUACGGGUUGCCCUUUUACCCCAGUAUGAAUAAACAGAGGCAUGGGUCUGACUGUGGCCAGCUGUUAACCCUUGUGGACAGUUGAGAAGAAUUAUGGAACAACUCAUGCUCAUUUUUGCAAUGCUAUCAUCUCUCUUAAAAAACAAACAAAUUAAGUUCCACUCUCUGAUCUGCAGUAGUCUAUGUGUCUUAUUCUACUUCCCCUUCAACUCAGCAUUUUGGGAAAUGGGGCCUUGUUGCUUAGAUAACAGAGUACUUAAAACAUUCUUUUCCCUCCUUUGGAGUCCUGAGUCCUUCCCGACUCUCCUUAGAAGGAUACAAGGUAAAGACUCACAUGAAGUGAGUUUUUAGUUUGUGGUUUACUCUGCUGACUAUUUAGAACGAGGCAAAAUAAAAACUUAUAAAAGGCAAUGAAUUCUUCAUAUUCAUGUCCUUUCUUGGCCACAAAAUAACCUCUACCUUAUCUUGUUUCUGCCUUUCUAAAACUGAGGAGUAAGCUUAAGUUUUUUUCAAAGUGGUGCUUUUUUUUUUCUUAUUUAUUUACUUAUUUGAGAGAAAGAGAACACACACUUCCAUCCACUAGUUUACUCCCCAAAUGCCCACAGUGGCUCGGGCUGGGCAUUUGUCUCCCACAGUAGUGGCAGGGACCCAAGUACUUGAGCCAUCACCUGCUGCCUCCCAGGGUGCACAUUCACAGGAAGCUGGACUCAGAACAGAGCUGGAACUAAAACCCAGGCACGCUAAUAAGGGACCCAGGUGCCCAACCUUGUCUUCAUAGCUAGGCCAAAUGCCCAACCACCAGUGGAGUUUUAAAUGUGAAUGCUGGUCCUGAAGUCCUACCUCACAAAAGGAAAUGAGACAUGUUAAGCAGAGGUAUUUGUGGUAACCAUUUUUUCUGUUGUUUCUGUAGCUUGCCUAUUCAUAGCCAGAGGCCCCCAGUCAGCUCCAUUCCCAAAACACCAGAAUCGCUGGGCAGGAAUGCACAGAUGCUAUUUGAAACUAGAUAUAUCGAGGUAGAAAGGAAAAGAGAGAGAGAGAGAGAAACCUACGCUUCUAGUUUCACUACUUGAGUUAAAGUUCAAUUUUAUGGUAAAUUCAAAUAAUUGUGUUUCAUAAAUUAUUAUACAUUUUGGGUCUAUUUGGUUUUAUUGGCAUUGGCCUUUUGGUCUCUGGUGUUUUUUGUUGAUUUUUCCUUGGAUCCUGCAGCAAAUAUUUGUGAUUGGCCCACCAAGACUUGCAGUGUCCUGCUGGUCCUCUUGAUAACUCACCAUCCUGCCCAAGUCCAGGAGGCAGUGACUCUGGCAAUACAGCUUUAUUUAUUUAUAAGAUUUAUUUAUUUUUUAUUUUAUUUUAUUUGAAAGGGUGACAGAGAUCUCCCAUACAGAGGCCCACUCUCCAAUGGCUGCAACAGCUGGAACUGGGCUAGGCUGAAGCUGGGAGCUUAGAACUCCAUCAGAGCCUUCUGUACCCGGUGGCAGAGGCCCAAGUACAUGGGCCAUCUUUUGCUGCUUUCCCAGGUGUAUUAGCAGGGAGUUGGCUGGGAAGUGGAGCAGCUGGGACCCAAACUAGUGCUCUGAUAAAUGAUACAGGCAUCACAGGCAGCAGCUUAACUCACUGUGCCAGAAAACCAGCCCCUGCAACAGAGGUUUAGAAGAAUCUUUCCAACUGCUCUGAUAAUCUCAAGUGUAUCCUUGGACCCAACCCACUUGAACUAGUCUCUGUUUCCACAUAGCCUUAAAAGGGGGCAGCAGGUUAAGCCACCUCCUGCGGUGCUGGCAUUCCAUUUGGGUGAUGGUCUGCAGUCCUGACUGCUACACUUCUGAUCCAGCUCUCUGCUAAUGGCCUGGGAAGGGCAGUGGAGGAUGGCACAAGAGCUUGGACCCCUACCACCUAUGUAGGAGAUGCAGAGGAAGCCCCUGGCUCCUGGCAAAGGCCUGGCCCAGCCCUGGCCACUGGGGCCAUUUGGGGAGUGAACCAGCAGAUGGAAGACCUCUCUCUCUCUCUCCCUCUCCCUCUCCUCUCUCUAUGUAACUCUGACUUUCAAAUAAAUAAAUAAAUCUUAAAAAGAGGAAGAAGACAAAGGAAGUUAAUAGCUACCUUGUAUUUUCAAAUAGCACAGCACUCUGUUCUCCCUUCUGGAACACCUUUUUCCCGGACAUCCGCAUAACCUGCUCCUUCAUUUCCUCCUGGACUUUGCUCAAAAUGCCAUUUCAUCAGAGGGGCCUUCUCUGACCACCGUAUCAAAAGCAGAAACCAACCAUUGGCCCUCCCUCACCAGUACUCUGUGUAUGCCCUAACCUACUGUUUCAUUAUUUUCUUUAGCACUUACCAUCACUAGGUACAUACACACACACACACACACACACACACAAACUUUCUUUUUUAAACUUUUUGACCCUCAGGAACUUCAGAACAUUGGAAUAAGUAGAAUUAAAGGAUUAUUUUGGUACAAAGAAAAUUUUAAAUCUAUGCAUAUGUGACAUUUUUUAAAAGUCAUAGAAAGUAUGCAUUAUUGAAAAAACUAUGGAUUUCAAAAAAUUUUUUACACCAAAAUAAACUUAACCUUCGAUUCUAUUUAUCCACAAACUUUAUUUUAUUUUAUUUUAAGAUUCAUUUACUUGAAAGGCAGAAUGACAGAAAGAUCUUUCAUCUGCUGGUUUCACUCCCCAGAUGGCCACAAUAGCUGGGACUGGGCCAGGCUGAAACCAGGAACCAGGAGCUUCAUCUGGGUCUCCCACGUGGGUAACAGGAACCCAAACAUUUGGGCCAUCUUCUGCUGCUUUCCCCAUGCCACUGACAGGGAGCUGGACCCAGAAGUGGAGCAGCCGGAACUCAAGCUGGCGCCCAUAUGGGAAGCCAGCAUCAUAGCAGCGGCUCUACCUGCUGCACCAUAACUCCGGUCCCAUUUUUUUUAAAGUACCUCAUAUGCAUCUAAUUUCUUUUCCCACCAUGUGGAAUGUAAGCUUCGUGAGGACAAGGACAGUUUCUUGGUCAGCUCUGCAUUCCCUUCCCUGGAACACUGCCCGCCUCUUAGCAGACAUUCAGUAAAUAUUUGUUUAAUGAAUAAAGAAUGAACUCCUUUUUAUUUCAGUCUCAAAGUCAGCAGUGUCCCAGGCAGCCAGAUUUUAAUGUUGGACGAGGUCCAGCAGACAAGCAUGAAAUGAAAUGCCAUAAAUGAAUUCCUUAGAGGUGCUCUGUGGUUCCGGUGUGUGUGAAUACUUAAAAACAGCUGGCUAGACGUCAGUGGGUCAGGACCCCUCUCCUUGGCAAUCCCCCGGGGCUGCUCCCUUGUCAGGGCGUGGAAGAGCAGUUCUAAGAGAAAGAGAGCAGGAGUGGCCCUUAGGCCUGCCCUAGAGGAAGGCUUGCAUUCUACGCAUGUUCUGCAUAGUUACCAGCUGUCCCAUCCAUUCCAGUGGGCUGGACUCCGGAGUUUUCUUCCUUCUAAGGCAGGCUCUGAGUCAGCAUUCUGCGCGGAGUCUCCUUUUCCUUUUUCAUGUCUUCGCCCCAGCGCACAGCUGAGCAAGUUGGGAAGCACUGAUCCUUCACAAUGAGUGAAACCUCUGAGAAGCUCGGCUGCGGGAGUGCUCUUUUUUAAUAUGUAUUUUUGUUUGUUGAGCUUGUAGAGGUGGGAGGGGAGCAGGCAUGUCUCGGGCAUUCUCCAUGAAGUCGAUAGCCUCUUGUAAAUGCAAAGCGUGAUGAGCCAUUGAGGAAGAAACAAAUUGUAGAUUGUACAUUUGAUCUGUCCCCCUCCCUCUUUGUCUUACUUUGCAUUCAAGUAGUUGAUUCAGAAAUGCAGAAAACAAUAGCAGAGGAGGAGAGAAGUGAGGGGGAGAGAGGAGAGUGAUGGAGGAGCUGGCUUCGGCCUCAGGUGAUAGAGUUUGAUCCUGUAGGGUGGGGAAAGGAUAUGGAGGAUACACAUCUGAGUUACUGUUCUGGGGAGGAGGAAACAUGGAUACUGAUGUAGCAAUCCCUCCAGUCCUUGGUUGAGGGCUGCUCCUGUGGUGGGUUCACUCCCAGAGCAGCCUGCAGGCAAACAUGUGGACACUGGCAGCUGGAGAUCAGGCAAAGCAUCCCCAAAGCAGUGAGGCCUGAGGAACACGGGCAGAACACCAAAGAGAAAGCUGCGCCGUGCUUCCUGUUUCUGCUGUGUUGUAGACUCCGUGAAUGCCACUGUUUGGCUUUUGUGCCUUCCAUCCCUUCACCUUUUAAACCACAUCUUUCCUUAAGGUUGGCUCAGUGCUCAAAUCUUGAUGUGUCUGUGAAUCACUAGCCGCCUUAUUUCUCAUGAAGACACCUAGCAAUUUCGACUUCACAGACUGGUACCUGUGUUGUAUUUUCUAAUAGAUGUAUGCUUCUUGGGAAACCCAGGUUUUACCUUCCACAUCUCUGUAAGCACCGAGUGCCUGACAUGUAAGUUCUCCAUCAGUGUGUAAUGAAUAAGCCUUUCCCCAUAACCCUGUGGGUUAUUUUGUGAAACAGGCUUGGGCUCCUGAAUACGAGCUGCGUAACUUUAGCCAGAGUAUCUUUCGUGGGCUCCAGGAAGUGACAGGGGGGCCUCUAAAGUCAGGACAAAGAGGGAGAAUUUUUAAGAAACAUUCCUGAAGUGUAAAGACGAACAGUGGUCUAUGUUCACUUUGUUGUGCAGCCAUUAUUGCCAGCAUCCAUUUCCAGCACCUUCUCAACAUUUCAGACUCAAAUUCUGUAUCACUACAUAAUAACUCCUUGUUGCUUCGCCUUGCAAGCCCUGACAACCAGGUUCUAGAUUAUUUCUGUGCUCUGACUACUCUAGGUACUGCUAGGUUGGUUUCUGUCGCUACUGUUAAGGAAAGUUUAUAUUUGAAUUGUAACAGGAAUGAGAUGAAUAAAUGUCCUUGUCUUGAGCAUUCUGUGUAGUCAUUUUUCAGGUCACUUAGGCUGGCAGCAUAGGGACGCUCAGGUCUGAUUUGGCUCCCACCCGUUCCUUCAUGGAGUAGUUGAAUAAUAUUAAAUAAGCCUCCUGGAAGAACCAGUCUAGUUCUCAUUCUGCAGAUGAGAAACUGAGCCUGCUGCUUUUUCCACUGUGCCCUGGGCAGUCACCUCGCCCUUAGGGAGAGCAUUUGCUUUACUUCUAUAUCUGCCUGCCUUUGCCUCUUUCCUCCUGUUCCAAGUGAUUUGAACUAAGCUGAUUUUUGAAAGACUUGCAAAGUAUUUAGUAAAAUAUAAGGGCACUCACAAUCCUUAGAAAAAUCGAACUAAAAGACAAGUUUAGGGGCUGGUGCUGUGGUGUAUGGUUGAAGCUGCCAUUCCAUAUGGAAUCCCAUAUGGGCACAGAUUCAAGUCCCGACUGCCCCCACUUCCAGUCCAUCUCCCUGCUGCUGUGCCUAAGAAGGCAGCGGAGGAUGGCCUAAAUCCUUGGGCCUCUGCACAUAUGUUGGAGACCCAGAUGAAGCUUCUGGCUCCUGGCUUUGGAUUGGCCCAUUUCUAACCAUCACGGCCAUUUAGGGAGUGAACCAAGAGAAGAUUUCUCUCUGUCUCUCUAUUCCCCCACCCCCACCCC